CGUGUAGGUGGUUUUGUAAGUCGAAUGUGAAAUCUCACGGCUCAACCGUGAAAUUGCGUUCGAAACUACAUAACUUGAGUUAGGGAGAGGUGUACGGAAUUCCUGGUGUAGCGGUGGAAUGCGUAGAUAUCAGGAAGAACACCAAUGGCGAAGGCAGUACACUGGCCUGUAACUGACACUGAGGCGCGAAAGCGUGGGGAGCGAACAGGAUUAGAUACCCUGGUAGUCC
rnacentral:rRNA from 1 species